GUGAACGCUGGCGGUAGGCCUAACACAUGCAAGUCGAACGGCAGCACAGUAAGAGCUUGCUCUUACGGGUGGCGAGUGGCGGACGGGUGAGGAAUACAUCGGAUUCUACUUUUUCGUGGGGGAUAACGUAGGGAAACUUACGCUAAUACCGCAUACGACCUACGGGUGAAAGCAGGGGAUCUUCGGACCUUGCGCGAUUGAAUGAGCCGAUGUCGGAUUAGCUAGUUGGCGGGGUAAAGGCCCACCAAGGCGACGAUCCGUAGCUGGUCUGAGAGGAUGAUCAGCCACACUGGAACUGAGACACGGUCCAGACUCCUACGGGAGGCAGCAGUGGGGAAUAUUGGACAAUGGGCGCAAGCCUGAUCCAGCCAUACCGCGUGGGUGAAGAAGGCCUUCGGGUUGUAAAGCCCUUUUGUUGGGAAAGAAAAGCAGCAGGUUAAUACCCCGCUGUUCUGACGGUACCCAAAGAAUAAGCACCGGCUAACUUCGU
rnacentral:rRNA from 1 species